rnacentral:sRNA from 1 species
AAAAAUAUUAUUUUUGUUUGACUAAUUUAUAUAUGAUUCUGAUGUGCAGAUGCGUUUGAUGUCAUACCCCGAAGGAUCAAAAAUUAAAAAACAGACACAUAUUAACAAAACAUUUGGUCACUUUUGGAAGAAUGGCGUAGGUCGUCCUAUUGGUACAGUUCCUAUACUUUUAGUCAGCAAAGAAGCUCUUUUGAAAAUGAAAUCUUUUGAUGGUGAUAAUUCUAAUCCCCAAAGUUCGUGGAGUAAAACCUAUAAACCUACGUCUUCUAAUGGAGGUCAUCAUGUAAGUGCUUUCUUAUAGCAUU